AACUAUAACGGUCCUAAGGUAGCGAAAUUCCUUGUCAGGUAAGUUCUGACCCGCAUGAAAGGCGUAAUGAUUUGGGCACUGUCUCAACAGCCCGCCCGGCGAAAUUGUAGUACCGGUGAAGAUGCCGGUUACCCGCGACAAGACGGAAAGACCCCAUGGAGCUUUACUGUAGCCUAAUAUUGGGUUUCGAUGUUGCAUGCACAGGAUAGAUGGGACUCUUGGAAACCAAGGCUUUGGCUUUGGCGGAGAGGCCGUUGGGAUACCAUCCUUGCGAUAUUGGAAUUCUAACCUGCGGCUCUGAAUCGAGUCGGGGGACAUUGUUAGGUGGGCAGUUUGACUGGGGCGGUCGCCUCCUAAAGAGUAACGGAGGCGUUCAAAGGUUCGCUCAGCUUGAACGGAAAUCAAGCAAAAGAGUGCAAACGCAGAAGCGAGCCUAACUGCGAGACUGACGGGUCGAGCAGUAACGAAAGUUGGAGUUAGUGAUCCGGUGGUAUGUGAGUGGAAAUGCCAUCGCUCAACGGAUAAAAGUUACCCUGGGGAUAACAGGCUGAUCUCCCCCAAGAGUCCACAUCGACGGGGAGGUUUGGCACCUCGAUGUCGGCUCAUCGCAUCCUGGAGCUGAAGUCGGUUCCAAGGGUUGGGCUGUUCGCCCAUUAAAGCGGUACGCGAGCUGGGUUCAGAACGUCGUGAGACAGUUCGGUCCCUAUCUGUCGUGGGCGCAGGAUAUUUGAUGGGAGCUGUCCCUAGUACGAGAGGACCGGGACGGACGUACCUCUGGCGCACCAGUUGUUCCGCCAGGAGCAUAGCUGGGCAACUACGUACGGAUCGGAUAAACGCUGAAAGCAUCUAAGCGUGAAGCCGACCCAAAGAUAAGAUAUCCCACUGAUUCAAUCAGGUAAGAUCCCUUGUAGACUACGAGGUUGAUAGGCACGAUGUGUAAGUGGAGCGAUCCAUUCAGCAAGUGUGUACUAAUAGAUCGAGGGCUUGACCAC
rnacentral:rRNA from 1 species